GACCAAGUUCCAAUCCAAGUUGGUUGUUCCAAAGAGUAUGUUACUGAACUCUUGACCGAGACUCAAUGCUUUGUGCCAAGACAAUGUUGAUGAGGAACCUUUUGAAGUCCCAGAUCCACUCAGCAGUCGGUGGCAGAACCAAACCAGAGGGAUACUGUUGUGCUGUAUAGAAGCAGAUUCAAUCACUGAACUGACAUUGUGUUUUGUUAUUGACUCUAAUAAAGUGCUGGAUACUUGAA